CGAACGGGUGAGUAACACGUGGGCAACCUGCCCAAAAGAGGGGGAUAACACUUGGAAACAGGUGCUAAUACCGCAUAACCAUAGUUACGCAUGGUAACUAUGUAAAAGGUGGCUAUGCUACCGCUUUUGGAUGGGCCCGCGGCGCAUUAGCUAGUUGGUGGGGUAAAGGCUUACCAAGGCAAUGAUGCGUAGCCGAACUGAGAGGUUGAUCGGCCACAUUGGGACUGAGACACGGCCCAAACUCCUACGGGAGGCAGCAG
rnacentral:rRNA from 1 species